rnacentral:miRNA from 1 species
CAAGCUGAGUGGGGAGGAGAGAGGGACAGAGAGCCUCUUGCUUUAAAGGAGCCAAUCGGACAGGAGCCGCUUACACUCAUGUAAGCGGCUCCUCUCCUGCUUUGCUCCUUUAAAGAAGCAGGCUCUCUGUCCCUCUCUCCUCCCCACUCAGCG